rnacentral:rRNA from 1 species
CAACUUUUGACAACGGAUCUCUUGGUUCUCCCAUCGAUGAAGAACGCAGCGAAAUGCGAUAAGUAAUGUGAAUUGCAGAAUUCAGUGAAUCAUCGAAUCUUUGAACGCACCUUGCGCUCGUUGGUAUUCCGACGAGCAUGCCUGUUUGAGUGUCAUG